GCACUGCUGAGGAGUCCCAUACUAGGACGAAACAUCCGUUCAGUAC
rfam:Schistosoma haematobium scaffold1030_4, whole genome shotgun sequence.